rnacentral:rRNA from 1 species
UGGGGAAUUUUGGACAAUGGGCGAAAGCCUGAUCCAGCAAUGCCGCGUGUGUGAAGAAGGCCUUCGGGUUGUAAAGCACUUUUGUCCGGAAAGAAAUGGCUCUGGUUAAUACCUGGGGUCGAUGACGGUACCGGAAGAAUAAGGACCGGCUAACUACGUGCCAGCAGCCGCGUUAAUACGUAGGGUCCAAGCGUUAAUCGGAAUUACUGGGCGUAAAGCGUGCGCAGGCGGUUGUGUAAGACCGAUGUGAAAUCCCCGAGCUUAACUUGGGAAUUGCAUUGGUGACUGCACGGCUAGAGUGUGUCAGAGGGGGGUAGAAUUCCACGUGUAGCAGUGAAAUGCGUAGAGAUGUGGAGGAAUACCGAUGGCGAAGGCAGCCCCCUGGGAUAACACUGACGCUCAUGCACGAAAGCGUGGGGAGCAAACAGG